rnacentral:misc_RNA from 1 species
GCAAUUCAUGGUUUAGUUGCUUUGGUCUGGUGUAGCUGCAAGAUUGUUAAGCUCUGCAAAUCUUAAACCAACCCGCAUCGAGUGCUUCAAGAAUUUCUCAGCACAUCUCAUGACACAGGUUUCCUCCUGCUUCUGCAGUGAUUUGCGUGUAAAGCUGUCCACACAGUCAUUGAAGCAUCUCUCCACAACUGAAUUGUACAUCCUCAUACUGUCUCGCACUUGGAGCUGCUCGAUUACGGCUGGCGCACCUCUGGUCUUCUUCAGGUAGACCGUCAAGACCUUGUAGCAUGUUCUUGUCCAUGCCUCCUCCAAUAAAUUAAAUUAUAGGGUUUGUUCUCUAUCCUCACCUUCUAUUAGCAGG